CGUCGUCGAUGUAUUGCAGGUUUUGAAGGGCUGCACCCUGUUCCAGUGCAGUCUGGAUCAGUCCAUGGCAAAUGGUAGGGCUGUGCUUCCACCCCUGGGGCAGUCGAUUCCAGGUGUACUGCGCAUCCCUCCACCACAUGAAAGCAAACUGUGGCCUGCACUCUGCUGCCAAAGGGUGUGGGUUGUCUGAAUUUAGAGUUGAUGAGUUAGUUUUCUGUAUUUGGAGUUAAUAGGCUAGUUUGUUGUGUGAAUAAAGUUAAGUGUUGCGGUAGUUGUGAGGCGACUUGGAGGCGGGGAGCUUGUGGUCGGUGGGGGUGCCUGCGCCCUGGAGCCCUGGAGCGGGGGACAGCUUGUGACUACGAGAUAACGAUCUUGUUACCAUGCGAACACUGCCUGACUAAGAUUCCCGCCUUAGCUAGCUUAAUGUCUGUUAAAGUGAUUAGCCAAUCAGCAUGAAACAUGUGUGCCUUAGACUAUAUAAAUGUAUGUUUGCCAUACAAUAAAGCGGACACCUUGCUUGCAUCAAGUUGCGUCCCCGUCUCUCAGUCGCGGCAAAUUGGUGACCUCCGACGUGAUCGUCAGCGACGAAACCGCCGAGGAUUGAAAAACCGCCUACCUGGUGGCAUGUCGCGAGUCCCGCAGAACGUGGAAUGAGCUGCUGAAAGGAAGCAGGAUAAGCCGGCCGGCCAAACAAUCCCUCCGUCUGGAACGAGAGGUGAGCUGCGGGAAACUAGCAAAAUGGGGAAUCAGGAGUCUUCCCCUGAGAGAGACGUUUAUGAGCCUAUGAAAGCUCUACUUAAGAAGCAUGGGAAAAAGACUCUUUCGGAACAAGAUCUUAAGUUAAUCCUUAAAUGGGUGCAGGUUAAGAUCCCCGCGGUGACUGCUUCUUCUAUUUUUACGCGUGAACUUUGGGACGAUGUGGGGGUAAAGUUAUGGGACGCAGCCACCUCAGGAGAUGAGGAAGCGCAGUAUAUGCUCCCCAGUUGGAGAAAAAUCUUUGAAACCAUAAAGGCACAAGAGCAAAAUCAGCGAGGCUCCGAGGAGGGAGCUCAGUCACCUCCCCCCUGCCCUUCUAAAAUCGCUGGUGGGGCGGAACCCUCUGCGCCACCUUUAGCUUGUGCUGCUGGAUAUCCCCCGGAGGGUGAUCCCUUUGACCCGGGUCCGAUUUACCCUGAAAAGGAACCUGAUCUUUUUCCCCCUGAUCCUCAUGAGGUUUGGGGAAAGAUUAAGCGCCAAGCGAUAAACGAGGGGGAGUUGGAAAUAGCCAGAACUAUAGUAGCCCCCGUUAUAUACCAAGGACGGGGGAGGGCUCAAGCUCAGUGGGAAGCUCUUUCUUUUUCGGUAAUUAAGGAGUUGCGCCGUACAGUUACCGAGCAUGGGUUGUCUUCCCCUUAUUUUGCAAGCCUUUUAUCUUCUGUAUUCGAUACAUAUGUCAUGACCCCACAUGAUUUAAAAUCUCUCGCGCGAUUGUUAUUAACCCCAACACAAUAUACAAUGUGGGAGUCUCAAUGGAGAACGGGAUUGCAGACAGUUUUGCUGGGUUAUGCAGGACAUGCUAAUGCCGCCUUAGCUGCAUUGACUAUAGAGCACCUCACAGGAACAGGGCAGUUUUCGGAUCCCGCGGCCCAAGCUAGGGACAUUCCUCGGGAGGCUUUGGAAGCAGGCAGAGAAGAAGCGAAAAGGGCCUUGUUGAGAGUCCCUGACUCUGGCAGACCCCAAAAAGCAUUCACUAGUAUCACUCAGGAACCCCGUGAGCCGUAUAUGCAGUUUAUGGAUAGAUUAAAACAAGCCUUAGAGCGGCAAGUUGAUAACGUACAGGCUCGGGAGAUUUUACUCCUUAAACUGGCUGUGGAAAACGCUAACGCCGAUUGUAAAAAGCUCUUGAAGUCUCUCCCAAAUCAAAACCCUACCUUAAUUGAAAUGGUGGAAGCCUGUAAUAGAAUUGGCACUAUGGAUCAUAAAUAUGAGGCCAUGGCUGCUGCUUUUGCGGCCAUGCACAGCCCGAUGGGCGCCGACCCACAGCGAAACUGCUAUGGGUGUGGAAAACCGGGACACCUUAAAAAAGAUUGCUUUAGUGCCAAUGCUGGGAAACGACCCCAAAUACCUGGAGUUUGUCCCAAGUGCCAAAAAGGGCGCCACUAUGCUAACCAAUGUCGAUCUAAAUACGACUCUCAAGGGCGCCCCAUACAGGGAAACCGAUCGCAGAGCGCGGGACCGCGGCGCGCACAGACACAAGUUCCGCGACCGGCGCCCCCACAAACGCCGGGGGGGGAAACAGGAGUGUUUCCAGUCUCCGCCCAGCAACAGCAGGGAGCACCGGCCUGGACCUGGCAACCGCUCACACAGUAACACUACUUGACUCCUCUGUUCACUUACUGCCUACCAAAGUUGCAGGUCCUUUGCCCCCCCGAACGCAAGCUUUAUUAUUAGGAAGAUCAUCCACCACCCUGUCAGGACUUUUUGUAUUGCCUGGAGUGAUUGAUCCUGACAGUAAUUCCGAAAUCAAAAUUAUGGCUUGGACCCCAUUUCCUCCUUGCACAGUACCAGAGGGAAGUCGUAUCGCUCAAUUGAUACUGAUCCCUAAGGAAGACUAUGUCCCAAUCCCUGACCAAAUGCUCCCGCAGAGACAGGGAAGUUUUGGAUCUACGGGAGAACCACUAAUUUUAUGGGUUCAAGCCAUCUCACAAAAACGUCCUAUAUGUCAAUGCACCCUCAUUCGCAGAGGUCAGCAAGUUAUGUUAAGUGGAAUUAUUGAUACAGGUGCAGAUGUUACCGUUAUUUCUCAAGCAAAGUGGCCUUCUAGGUGGCCUUUAGCUGAUAUCUCUCAGACAUUAGCAGGAAUUGGGGGGUGUGGAGCUAGCCGCCAAAGCGCAGAAAUAAUACAAGUUCAAAAUUCAGAAGGACAAGUUGCCUCAGUCAAACCGUUUAUCUUACCAGUACCUAUGGUCUUGUGGGGGCGUGAUGUGUUAUCCCAGUGGGGGAUGUCUAUCCAGACACAUUUUUAGGUGGGGCCAUUGAGGGGCGUGAAACCCUAAAGUUAACUUGGAAAACAGAUACUCCUAUUUGGAUUGAUCAAUGGUCCCUGCCGCUGGAAAAACUUCACGCCCUCCAAGAAAUAGUUAAUGAACAACUAUCUAUGGGACAUAUUGUACCCUCUACGAGUCCUUGGAACUCGCCUAUUUUUGUUAUUAAAAAACUGACUGGCAAGUGGCGCUUGCUCCAUGACCUCAGAAAAAUUAAUGACGCUAUGGAAGACAUGGGGGCCCUGCAACCUGGGCUUCCGUCACCCACCAUGAUCCCUCGAGAUUGGCAUUUAACCAUCAUAGACCUCAAAGAUUGUUUUUUCAACAUUCCAUUGCAUCCAGACGAUGCCCCUAAAUUUGCCUUUUCGGUUCCUAGCGUCAACAUGCAAGCUCCUUUGCAAAGAUACCAGUGGGUUGUGCUACCACAGGGAAUGAAAAAUAGCCCUACAAUAUGCCAAUGGUAUGUAGCAAAAAUACUUAGUCCUAUCAGAACUGUAGUACCUGCUGCAUUGUUAUAUCAUUAUAUGGAUGACAUUCUAGUGGCAGCACAGCACCAUGAAGUCAUGGAGGAAGCUGUAGCCCUUGUCGUGGCUGCUGUAAAAUCAGCAGACCUCUGUAUUGCACCAGAAAAAAUUCAAAAAAUACCACCUUGGAAAUACUUAGGAUGGCGUAUAAGGGCUCAGACUAUUGCUCCGCAACCUUUACAAAUACAGGCGAAUAUAAAGAAUUUACAUGACGUGCAAAAACUGCUGGGAACAAUCAAUUGGGUCAGACCAUUGUUAGGAAUCACUAAUGCAGAUCUUCGUCCCUUAUUCAAAAUGCUUAAAGGAAGCUCGGACUUAAACGCUCCGCGAACUCUCAGUCCUGAAGCCAUAGCUUCCUUGCAUAAAGCUGCGGCAGCGAUUACCUCCAGACAAGCGCAUCGAUGGGAACCAGAAUUGCCUUUUCAAUUAAUCAUCCUUAACCCUGCUAGACAGCCUCAUGCACUUAUUUUCCAAUGGGAUUGCCAGAAAACGGACCCUUUACUGAUCAUUGAAUGGAUUUUUUUACCUAACCAAGCCACAAAGACGAUUUCUACCCAACAUGAGAUGUUUGCAUCUUUAAUCAUCAGGGCUCGACAGCGAUUACUUACCCUGGCAGGCACGGACUUCGCCCUCAUAUGUAUGCCGAAAGAGGUCCCCGCUGGAUCCCAGCUAAAAAUGUGAGACCUUUUCGAGAGACACUGCAGCAGCCUCCUGAAGACAUUCCUGGUCCUGAUCCUGCGACUGACAUAGAAGACACUACCGAUCAAUAAUUGAAUGAACUCUGUUCCAGAGGUUAACAAAUGGGAGCUUAAGUGUCCCCAAUGUGAAAAAUGUAAUCCGUGGAUUUGUAGAAUUUAUGCUAAUUGUGGAAAAUCACAGUGGCUAAAUCGCCAUACAGUAGGACGCUGGUGUGAUAACUGCCUAACAAUUGAGUGGAAUACAGUUCAGGUGUUAUUGAUAACAGGUAGAGAGACAGAAUAUUCUCCCCGGUAUGAUUAUUAUUCUGACGAUUGGGGGAAAAUUGUAGCACAAAGGUCUGUGGACAUUUUAUAUUCUAAGAUUGAAUGCGCCAAAGACAUUCAAAUGAGCAUUAUUAAUAGUAAUCCCAUGUGUGUUACAAUGCUUCCAAAAUCAAUAACUGCUUCAAUGAACAAGAUUUUCCUCGUGCAGCAAGGAGCGGACCAAGAUCAGAAAGAAAUUACGAAAACCCCCAGUACGGAGCUGUUAGUAAGAUGUCCUCGAGUUGGUCGUUUGCCGACCUUGGGAGGGUCAGUUAAUUAAAACAAAAAGGGGGAGAUGUGGGUUGUCUGAAUUUAGAGUUGAUGAGUUAGUUUUCUGUAUUUGGAGUUAAUAGGCUAGUUUGUUGUGUGAAUAAAGUUAAGUGUUGCGGUAGUUGUGAGGCGACUUGGAGGCGGGGAGCUUGUGGUCGGUGGGGGUGCCUGCGCCCUGGAGCCCUGGAGCGGGGGACAGCUUGUGACUACGAGAUAACGAUCUUGUUACCAUGCGAACACUGCCUGACUAAGAUUCCCGCCUUAGCUAGCUUAAUGUCUGUUAAAGUGAUUAGCCAAUCAGCAUGAAACAUGUGUGCCUUAGACUAUAUAAAUGUAUGUUUGCCAUACAAUAAAGCGGACACCUUGCUUGCA